GCGAACGCUAGCGGCGGGCCUAACACAUGCAAGUCGAGCGGGGAGCAAUCCCAGCGGCGCACGGGUGAGUAACGCGUAGGUAAUGUGCCUCUUGGUGGGGAAUAACCUUGGGAAACCAGGGCUAAUACCGCAUAAUGCCCUUCGGGGUGAAAGCAGCAAUGCGCCGAGAGAGCAGCCUGCGUCCCAUUAUUUAUUCCUAGUUGGUGAGGUAACGGCUCACCAAGGGUACGAUGGGUAGCUGGUCUGAGAGGAUGAUCAGCCACACUGGAACUGAGACACGGUCCAGACUCCUACGGGAGGCAGCAGUGGGGAAUAUUGCGCAAUGGGCGAAAGCCUGACGCAGCCACGCCGCGUGAGUGAUGAAGGCCUUCGGGUUGUAAAGCUCUGUCGCAGGGGAAGAACCAAAUGACGGUACCCUGCAAGAAAGCACCGGCUAACUCUGU
rnacentral:rRNA from 1 species